rnacentral:rRNA from 1 species
UAAGUGUUGGAGGGUUUCCGCCCUUCAGUGCUGCAGCAAACGCAUUAAGCACUCCGCCUGGGGAGUACGACCGCAAGGUUGAAACUCAAAGGAAUUGACGGGGGCCCGCACAAGCGGUGGAGCAUGUGGUUUAAUUCGAAGCAACGCGAAGAACCUUACCAGGUCUUGACAUCCUUUGACCACUCUAGAGAUAGAGCUUUCCCUUCGGGGACAAAGUGACAGGUGGUGCAUGGUUGUCGUCAGCUCGUGUCGUGAGAUGUUGGGUUAAGUCCCGCAACGAGCGCAACCCUUAUUGUUAGUUGCCAUCAUUUAGUUGGGCACUCUAGCGAGACUGCCGGUGACAAACCGGAGGAAGGUGGGGAUGACGUCAAAUCAUCAUGCCCCUUAUGACCUGGGCUACACACGUGCUACAAUGGGAAGUACAACGAGUCGCUAGACCGCGAGGUCAUGCAAAUCUCUUAAAGCUUCUCUCAGUUCGGAUUGCAGGCUGCAACUCGCCUGCAUGAAGCCGGAAUCGCUAGUAAUCGCGGAUCAGCACGCCGCGGUGAAUACGUUCCCGGGCCUUGUACACACCGCCCGUCACACCACGAGAGUUUGUAACACCCGAAGUCGGUGAGGUAACCUUUUUGGAGCCAGCCGCCUAAGGUGGGAUAGAUGAUUGGGGUGAAGUCGUAACAAGGUAGCCGUAUCGGAAGGUGCGGCUGGAUCACCUCCUUU